rnacentral:tRNA from 1 species
GGGGGAUUAGCACGGUUAGCUAGAGUGUUUGCAUAGCAUGCAAAAGGUCAUCGGUUCGAGCCCUAUAUUCUCUAC